AUGAGUGUAGAAAAUAUAAACCCGAAUUUGAAGAAGCAUAUGCAAAGUAUCCUAAUAAGAAAAUCAGAUAUACCUCUUUACAACCGAAAUAACAUUAUUGACAUAAUAAUAGGAGUGUUAGAUAAAUACACCAAUACAAACACAAACGACAUAAAUGUUGAAAAUGUUAUAAAAAAUUUAAAAGAAACUUUAGAUAAAACGUUUGGUAGUGGUUGGGUAUGUUUAAUAGGGGAAUCAUUUUCUUUUAAUAUUUCAGCAAAACAAAAUUCCUUUUUGUUCUGCUUUUACCAAGGAUACUUAGCCAUAGUUGUGUAUAAAUGCUAGUGUUAGUACAAAGUAAAACGAAAAAAGAGCACAAAUAUGUUGAUGAAGUAAAUAUAUAAAAAAAAAAAAAUAAAAUAAAAAAAGUGUAUAAAAAAAGUGCA
ensembl:lncRNA